rnacentral:rRNA from 1 species
UAUCAAAAACAUCGCUCCUUGUAUAAAACAAAUAGGGAGUCGGACCUGCCCAGUGAAUUUUUAACGGCCGCGGUACUCUGACCGUGCAAAGGUAGCAUAAUAAUUUGCCUUAUAAUUGAAGGCUGGUAUGAAUGGUUUGACGAGAGUAAAGCUGUCUCUUUACAAUUUAAUAAAAAUUUAUUUACGGAUGAAAAAGUCUGUAUACAAUUAAAAGACAAGAAGACCCUAUCGAGCUUUAAAAAAUUUAGUGGGCAAGAGAACUAAUUAAUCCUAAAAAGUUAUCUACUAAGAAUUUUAGUUGGGGCGACCGAGGAACAGAUAGAGCUUCCUUAAAACAAUUAUUGCAAAUUAGCUUUGAUCCAGGAAUUUCUGAUUAAUAAAAUUAGUUACCGUAGGGAUAACAGCAUUAUCUUUUUUGAGAGUUCUUAUCGAAAAAAAGGUUUGUGACCUCGAUGUUGGACCAGAAUGUCCUAAAGAUGCAGCAGUCUUUAAGGGUUGGUCUGUUCGACCAUUAAUAUUCUACGUGAUCUGAGUUCA